AUCAUGGCUCAGAUUGAACGCUGGCGGCAUGCCUUACACAUGCAAGUCGAACGGUAACAGGUCUUCGGAUGCUGACGAGUGGCGAACGGGUGAGUAAUACAUCGGAACGUGCCUAGUAGUGGGGGAUAACUACUCGAAAGAGUAGCUAAUACCGCAUGAGAUCUACGGAUGAAAGCAGGGGAUCGCAAGACCUUGUGCUACUAGAGCGGCUGAUGGCAGAUUAGGUAGUUGGUGGGAUAAAAGCUUACCAAGCCGACGAUCUGUAGCUGGUCUGAGAGGACGAUCAGCCACACUGGGACUGAGACACGGCCCAGACUCCUACGGGAGGCAGCAGUGGGGAAUUUUGGACAAUGGGCGAAAGCCUGAUCCAGCAAUGCCGCGUGCAGGAUGAAGGCCUUCGGGUUGUAAACUGCUUUUGUACGGAACGAAAAGCUUUGGGUUAAUACCCUGGAGUCAUGACGGUACCGUAAGAAUAAGCACCGGCUAACUACGUGCCAGCCGCUGC
rnacentral:rRNA from 1 species